rfam:Ixodes scapularis strain Wikel colony gcontig_1107729046522, whole genome shotgun sequence.
ACUCCCUGUAUAUGUAAAUAACAUGCAAUAAAAUCUCUGUUCUUAUCAGCUUAAUAUCUGAUACGGGUCCUAUUUGGACCCAAGAUAUUAAUCUUAUUUUUGGAAUGCGGCGUAGUGCUUGAGGUUUACCUCACCUAUGCCACGGGUUGGCCCGGUAUUGCACUGCCUCCGGGAUCGGCCCACCCCCC